rnacentral:misc_RNA from 1 species
GAUGAAGAACGUAGCGAAAUGCGAUAAGUAAUGUGAAUUGCAGAAUUCAGUGAAUCAUCGAAUCUUUGAACGCACAUUGCGCCCGCCAGUAUUCUGGCGGGCAUGCCUGUACGAGCGUCAUUACAACCCUCAGGCCCCCGGGCCUGGCGUUGGGGAUCGGCGGAGCCCCCCGUGGGCACACGCCGUCCCCCAAAUGCAGUGGCGGUCCCGCCGCAGCUUCCAUCGCGUAGUAGCUAACACCUCGCGACUGGAGAGCGGCGCGGCCACGCCGUAAAACACCCAACUCUUCUGAAGUUGACCUCGAAUCAGGUAGGAAUACCCGCUGAACUUAAGCAUAUCAAUAAGCGGAGGA